AUGGGAAGAGAAAAGCUCCAUAAGCAGCCAUCUGGUCGUCUGAUUGAAUCCCUUAAAAUGGAGAGGGUCAGGACUAUUCUGACUCAUAGAUACCCAUACCCACAUGAGCAUUCAAGACAUUUCAUGAUUGCUGUGAUUGUUGGCUGGCUUUUCCUCCUUUCAUCAGAUAACUUACAAACCCUUAUAAUGAAAUUGGACAAGAAUUUUAAAUGGUGGUCGAUGUAUGCCUGUUUGAUUGGUUUCUUCUAUUUCUUCUCAUCACCAUUUAUUAGGAAGACUAUCAAGCCAAACUAUUCAAACUUUAGUCGUUGGUACGUUGCUUGGAUAUUCUUGGCAGCAUUAUACCAUCUCCCUAGUUUUCAGUCAAUGGGGUUGGAUUUGAGGAUGAAUCUUUCCCUCUUCCUCACUAUUUAUAUUUCCUCUCUAGUUUUCUUGAUCGUCUUCCACGUCAUAUUUCUUGGACUCUGGUAUUUGGGUCUUGUUUCUCGCAUGGCAGAGAAAAAGCCAGAGAUGCUUACUAUAAUCCAAAAUUGCGCAGUGAUAAGUAUAGCUUGCUGCGUGUUCUACAGCCACUGUGGUAACAGGACUCUUUCAAGGGAUAAAUCUAUUGAUCGUAGAACUGCUAGCUGGGUUGCAUUUUCACUCUGGAGAAAGCAAAAUGAGGACAACACACUGAUUUCAAAGCUAUUGCGUAUGCAUAAGUUUAAAGACCAGAUUUGCUCAUCCUGGUUUGCCCCGGUUGGCUCUGCCAGUGAUUACCCACUUCUCUCGAAAUGGGCCAUUUAUGGAGAAUUAGCUUCCAAUGGAUCCGAACACUCCAACAUCAUUUCACCUGUCUACUCUUUGUGGGCCACAUUCAUUGGUCUUUACAUGGCCAAUUAUGUCGUGGAGCGGUCAACUGGAUGGGCUCUAACUCAUCCUUUAACAAUUUCGGAGUAUGAGAAUCUGAAGAAACUGUUGAAACCGGAUUUUGAGGACAUGGUUCCUUGGUACUCUGGGACCUCAACAGAUUUAUUCAAAACCGUUUUCGACCUCAUGAUAUCUGUGACACUCUUUGUUGGUAGAUUUGACAUGCGUAUGAUGCAGGCUGCUAUGAACAAAACUCCAGAUGAAUCUAAGAGCAGCGACCUUUUAUACGAUCAUCUUGAUGGGAAAGACGAACUUUGGUUUGACUUCAUUGCAGAUACCGGCGAUGGUGGCAACUCUACAUAUGCUAUAGCACGCUUACUUGCUCAACCUUCUUUAGUCGUAAAGUCUGAUGAUUCCAGGCUUAUAUUUCCCCGUGGAGAACUACUACUUAUUGGUGGAGACCUCGCAUAUCCGAAUCCAUGCUCAUUUACAUAUGAGCGGCGUUUUUUCUGCCCUUUUGAGUAUGCUCUCCAGCCUCCUGCUUGGUACACGCCUGAUCAUAUAGCAUUGGAAAAACCUGAACUUCCUCUUGGAGUUUCUGAGCUCAGGCAGUAUAAGGGACCACAAUGUUUUAUGAUUCCUGGAAACCAUGAUUGGUUUGAUGGACUGAACACAUUCAUGAGGUAUGUCUGUCAUAAGAGCUGGCUUGGUGGGUGGUUUUUACCCCAGAAGAGGAGUUAUUUUGCAUUAAAGCUUCCCAAUGGGUGGUGGGUUUUUGGUCUUGACCAAGCUCUACAUGGCGACAUUGAUGUGUACCAGUUCAAGUUUUUUGCAGAAUUAUGUCAACAGAAGGUUGGAGAACAUGAUUCUGUAAUUCUUAUAACUCAUGAGCCAAAUUGGCUUCUCGACUGGUACUGGGGUGAUAAAACUGGAAAAAACGUAACAUAUUUAAUACGUGAGUACCUCAAGGGAAGGUGUAAAUUGCGGAUGGCUGGCGACCUGCACCAUUAUAUGCGUCAUUCUUGCACUGAGUCCAAAGAACCAGUACAUGUGCAACACUUGCUUGUAAAUGGUUGUGGUGGAGCCUUUUUGCAUCCAACACAUGUCUUCGAGAACUUCAAGGAAUGCUAUGGGAACAAGUAUGAAACGAAGGCUGUAUAUCCUUCUUAUGAAGAUUCUAGCAAGAUUGCACUUGGUAAUAUUUUAAAAUUCCGAAGGAAAAAUUGGCAAUUUGAUGUCAUUGGUGGUUUUGUGUAUUUCGUGUUGGUCUUCUCAAUGUUUCCACAGUGUGACUCAUUUCGUAUCUUGCAUGAAGACUCUUGGGAUGGCCGUGUGAAUAGUUUCUUCAAUGCAACGUGGAAUGCUAUUUUUGAGAUUCUAGAGCAUUCUUAUGUAUCCCUAGCUGGUGUUCUUACUCUGUUGACGGUAUCAUUUUUCUUUGUACCCACAAAACUAUCACGUAGAAGACGUGCUUUGCUUGGCUUUCUUCAUGCUGCUGCUCAUAUAACUUCGGCAGUACUACUGAUGCUGCUUAUGGAACUGGGUAUUGAGAUAUGCAUCCGCAACCAUCUACUAGCGACAUCAGGCUACCACACCCUCUAUGAAUGGUACCGUCAGGCAGAAAGUGAACAUUUCCCUGAUCCCACGGGGCUUCGUGCUCGUCUGGAACAGUGGACCUUCGGGCUUUAUCCUGCGUGUAUCAAGUACCUUAUGUCUGCCUUCGACAUCCCAGAGGUUAUGGCAGUAACUAGAAGCACAAUCUGCAGAAAAGGAAUAGAGUCUCUCCCUCGGGGAGGCGCCAUCAUCUACUAUGUGUCUGUCUUUCUCUACUUCUGGGUCUUGUCGACGCCCGUUGUGUCGAUGGUGUUUGGGAGCUACUUAUACGUGUGUAUAAACUGGUUCCAUAUUCACUUUGACGAGGCCUUCUCCUCCCUGCGCAUAGCAAAUUACAAGGCGUUCACGCGGUUCCACAUCAAAAAGAAUGGAGACCUUGAGGUGUUCACCCUGGCUGUGGACAAGGUGCCAAAAGAGUGGAUGCUGGAUCCAGACUGGGAUAUGGAGCCCAAGGAGCCAUUGCAGAUGAGCCACACCAGGAGGUUCCCAAGCAAAUGGCGAGCCGCGUCGGGAUGGUCGGAUCCGACCAGCGUAGUUCGGGUUGUUGACCAGUUUGUCAUUCCACGGACACUGGUAGAUCCUCUUUUACCAGACUCUGCUCCGUGA
rnacentral:rRNA from 1 species